AUGGUUGGACCGUUGGCCGAUGGUUGGCAUUGGCUAAACAACGUUGGCCCAACAUCGGACCAAUGUCAACACGUCACGUUCAUACUCUGAUUCCGGGGUUAGUCGGGAAUACAACAUUGGCCCAACAUUGGGCCAACGUUGUAAUAUUGUGACUAAUUAAUUGCCGGAGUAUGUUGUCAACACAAUGCUGGCCCAACAUUGGGCCAAUGUCAACUUAUCACUUUCAUACUGGUACCGAGGUUAGUUGGGAAUACAACAUUGGCCCAACAUUGUAAGAUUGUGAUGAAAUUCGACUAAAAAAUAGAUUUUGAUAUCUAUAUUUAUGACACACGCACACACAAAUGCGCAUGACUCGCAUGUUUUGAAGAAGAGGAUGAUGAGUUAAUUAAAAUAAGCUACGUAUAGAAUGUAUAAUUGAUUUGAAAUAUUUAUAAUUUUUGUAAAAUAUAUGCAUACAUUUUAGAAAACAUAUUAAAAAAUUAACAUACAUUCAAUUAUCAUUUGUGCAGGGAUGAAAAUUAACCUUGCAUAUCAAAAGAAUGAACUCAAAAGAGAAAGGUUUAACACAUGCAAAGAUUACAUAAAUGCUCUAAAGUGUUGGAUUUAGGAAGCAGAUUCUAAGAUAAGAGCACAUUUACUGACCAAGCAAUUAGGACAGAGUUUUUCACAGCUUGAGACUGGCCAGUUUCCAUGGUAAUCUUGAUAUCUGAUAUGUUGGGAUGGUCAAUCCUGUAUCUAUUUUACGCGUCCAGCAUUCUAAUCUCGGAGUUUUACUGAGGAAUAACGUGAAACAAGGCAACUGAAAAAGGAAAACUUAUUCCGGGGAAUCGUUUUUAUUGUGAAUUCAGAUUAAAGUAAUACGUCCUGGCAUACGUAUACGGAAAUGAGCUGCUCGAGCAAACCGAUUAUGUGCAGACGCAACACACAAUGAGAUAAACAAUGUUAUCAAAGAGUGGUUCCGGUACGCAUGUGACCGUGAAGGAGGUCGAAAAGAAAGAGAGGAAAGAAAAAAAGACGAAGAGAGAAACCAAAGCUCCCAGAAUGCAACAGAGGACAGUGAUUCAUAAUUGUGGAAGAAUUAAAGUGUAUGCACAUGUAUCAGACAAAGAGACAAAGUUAACUUGUUUACACUGGAAUGCAUUUAUUGUUUUAAUCAUAUUUUCAUUUGACCAGUUGUUAACACAAAUUAAAUUCAUUAGAUGUCUUUUAUUUUGUUUUGAUAAUGUGUAGAAGUUGAACAAUCCUUAUGUCUCUGGUGGAGAUUUUAAAAAAAUGGAUAGAUUUUCUACUGAGCUCUAACAGUGGUCAACCUUAUAUUGUAAUUGAAGGAGGAUUAUGAGAUUAGUUACUUCAUCUGCAAAUUGGAAUCGUUUCUAAAAUUUGAAUACAAUAUUUUAUUGCUUAAAUGAAAAAACAAAACAAAUAACCAAAUGUGUAUAUGAUGUUCGGCAAACAUUGGGCCAAUUUUAUUUCAGUGAUUGGCCAAUAUCAUUAGAAAAUGCACACAACAUUAAGCCAACCUGUGUAUGAUGUUGGGCCAAUGAUGGCCCAAUAUCACACACACUGGGUCAAUGUUGAUUCAAUGUUGGGCUAAUAUACGAAAAAGGCACACAACACAGGGCUACUGAUGACGUUGGGCCAACGAUGGCCCAAUGUCACACACAUUGGGCCAACGUUGAUUCAAUGUUGGGCCAAUGUCAUGAGAAAACUUGCAUUACAUUGGGCCAACGUUGGCCCAACUCGUUGGGCCAACAUUGGGCCGAUGAGCAAA